AUUGUUUUGGCAGAUUAGUGCAAUAAAUUUAGAAUUUAUUUAAGUAAUUUAUUUACAGACAAUA
rnacentral:tRNA from 1 species